AUUGGCUUGCACUUUGGUGUUUCAAUCCUGAGCCAAUUCAUUUUAAUUGAUUUUGAUGCUAUGAUCUUUAAAGGAGUAAAAGAAAGUCUUUAAGAGAGCUUUAAAAGAACUUUCAAAGCCCUGAAUUUUAUGUAUCCUACAUUGCAUAAAUUCAUAUUUUGGUAUCUAUGCUCCAAUAUUUUUAUAUCAUGAAAGAACUUUGAAGUCAUUAAGAAUUAAGGAUUCAACAUAAUCUUAUGUUUUUCGAGUAUAUAAGUUUUGAUCUUUAUCUGCUCUUAAACUAUACUCUAAAAAUUAAUUAGAUUGCUCUCAUGUUGCUAUAUACUUAAUAUAUUAAAAAAAAGGGUAUUGGAUUUUCAUUCGUGCUUUCUUUGAAUAUUAUUCUUGAUACUCCUUGAAAUAACUUGAAAAAGAUUCCAUCUACACUUGAUUUCAAAACUAUCUUUGGAAUCUACAUUUAGAGAUCACUUCUGGCUUACAUCCUUAAUAUCUCAUUCCUAAAGCCAAACACAUAGAAAUAAG
rnacentral:lncRNA from 1 species